GGCGUGUGAAGCCAGCAUGCCGAGGAGAGUGGAGUGGCCGAGGUGGGAGGUAGCCCCUGGAACCCAGCCCGCCACUGUCAUGUCUCGCAUCGCGUGCCAGGCCGCCGAGGUGCGGCUAAUUCCAUGCUCAGCUUCCCUGCCGCCCCGGCAGUCAGGGGUGGACGUGCCUCGGUCACCUGUGCUCCCUUGCCACCUGCACUGUCUCCGGGGGGUCGGCUUCUCUCUCCAGUGGGCUCCUGACUCCUCGCCGUAGGCACUGCAGUCCUCCGGUCCCCUCGGCCCGCUGGCCCCGUCCUGUCCCCGUUUUCCUUCUCACAGCUGGAUGCCCCCAUCCUGUGCCUGCGAGGGGUGUAGGCGGGAAGCUGUCACCAGGGCCUGGCCUUCUCUGAGACCCCAGGAGCCAGCCUUGUGGCCCUGCUGCUCCUGGAGAGGACGGCGGGUGACUUUGUCCCACGUCCCCCGUGCAGGUUGGUGGGUGUCUCCCUGAGAUGGAACCCAGACCGGAUGGCGAGUUAGGGGCAGAGACCUCAGGGGAGGAGAAGCCCUCACAUGGGAGCAGCACCUCGGGGCUGGGCAGUCACCAGGUGGCCAGAAGCCCCCACCCCUGUAUUGUUGCCAUUUCCCUGGGUGGUGUGAUUUUUGGAAGCGAGUCCCAGAGUCCAGCCUGGCCUGGGGACAGUCGGGCGCCUACUUGUGGGGGAGGAGGAGCAGGAUGUGUGGACCUUUGUUAAAAACCCCACCAUGGGUGGGCCGUGGUGGCGCACACCUGAAACCCCAGCACUCUGGGAGGCUGAGGCAGGAGGGUUGCAAGUUCCAGCCCGUCCUGGGCAGUUUAGCAAUUUAGAGACCUUGUUUCCAAAAAAAAUAAAUGGGCUGGGGGUAUAGCUCAGUGCGAAGGGCCUGGGUUCAAUCCUAGUAGUGCAAAAAGAACAAAACAAAUAUAAGAAACCAGCAGCUGGAUGGUGAGGCCGGAGAGGACCCUGCCUGUCUCCCUCCCUUUGCUGCGGAGCUGCCCCGUGAACUUCCCCCGGGGCCCCUCAGCCUCCCAUGACUUCGCCCCUGCCGCCCCUGCCCGGAAGGAGGCCAUGUCUUCCCUGUGACGUCUGUGACCCCAGUCACUUGGUGACGGCCCCGUGACCUGAGUGUCACCAUCACUGGGGUUGCUCCAGCUUUGUGAUGCCUGCAUCCUGACUCCCUCCGUCCUUUCUGCCUGGGCCGAUUCUCCCAGGGCCCUGGGCUCCUGGGGAGGCCUGGCCUUGUCCCUGGGCACCAAGCCGGUCCCAGGUGGCCCUGGUGCCAGGUAUCCUUGCUGCCAGGCCUUCUUGGUUGUCUGUCGCUUCCAUUUUAAGCCCAGAUCCUUUCUAUGGAGCUUUCAAUGCCCACACAUCUGGGCCUGGCCACCUGGCGCUUGGCCUCUUCCAUGUCCUCCUGGCCCUCCCCUGACCUCUAGCCACCUGGGCCUUCUUUUGUUCUUCACUUUCCUCGAGUGUGCUCCUACCUCAGGGCCUUUGCACUUGCUGUGUCCCCUCGCCCGGGCUCCCACCGCAGUCCUUCUGAGCUGUCUCAUGUUCAGCCUCGGCUCCACCAGGGCUUCCUGUACCAGGGACUUUCAGGUGGGCCGCACACCCACCCUGGUCACGCUUGCACACCCCCUGGUUGACUAUGGAUCCGGAACAGAACUGCCUCGGGCUCUGGUUAUCGUCACUGUAACACCCUCUGCGGGGGCCUGGCCCUGUGCCUGUCCUGACCCCAUGUGCCCUGUGUGGUUGGUGCCCAAGGAAUGGUUGCCAUUGACAGAGACGGGUGUCCAGGUCAUCUUUGUUUCCAUUGUACAGAUAGGGAAACUGAGUCAGGUGCAUCUGAGAUGAGCUCAGAUUGAGCAUUGUUGGGGAGGGCGCUGGAUCCCCCUCCGGUGCCUGGGGCUCCCUUUCCCGCCCCCAACACUGGGGUCCUGGGCUGUGGGCAGGAAGCCUCCUGGGCCGGGCGUGGCUGUAGCGCCAGUCGGUGGCUGCUGAGCUUCUGUGGGUUUGAACCCUGUGAGCUGUGGGCGCAGGAAAGCAGGCGAGUUCGGGGUGCGCUGGCCCUGAGGCCAGCCUGCCCUCUGGCCCCGAGUCUGCCCUGCGCAGUCCCUGCCCCGGCCCAGGACCCUGUUCCCUUCUCCACAUCGCCCUUCGCCCUUCUGUCCCCUGCACCCUCCCACUGCAUCUCCCCCAGCCCCACUCUGUCCGGGGCCGCUGUCCCCCCUUGCUUUGGCCCCAGCUCUCCUGUUGACCCCCUCCAUCCCGGUCCCUGUCCUGCGGGGUCGAAUCUCUCCCCUUUGGCUCUGUCGCCUGCGUCCUCUCUGGUCUCUAUCUUCCUGUCUCUGUCUGCCCCAUGUCCCUGUCCUUCUCCCCUCCAAACACCUGUGUCCCCUUGGCGGCAGCCCUGGUGCCACCCAGCUGUCUCCUGCCUGCAGGACAGGGUGCCCCGGGAACCAGGCCAGGCUGUGGAGCCCAGGGUCUGGGCCUUUGUCCCGGAUGCGUCCAGCCUUCUGGGGGCGGCAGAUGCACGUGGGCAGGACGUGGGUCGCUUUGGGGCCACAGUGGUCUUCCUAGGAGUGGGCCUGGAGUGCCUGCCCGGGCCAGGGCAACAGGGACAGAGCUGACCCCUGUCCUACAUUCCCCAG
rnacentral:lncRNA from 1 species